GAUGAACGCUGGCGGCGGGCCUAAUACAUGCAAGUCGAGCGAAGCGGGGACGGGUGAGUAACACGUGGAGAACCUCCUAUAAGACUGGGAUAACCUCGGGAAAACGGAAGCAAAACGGAUACUUAUAGAUGAAUACGGGCUCCAUUGGCUAGUUGGUAAGGUAACGGCUUACAAAGGCCAAGAUGCAUAGCCGACCUGUGAGGGUGAUCGGCAACACUGGAACGUAGACACGGUCCAGAUUCCUACGGGAGGCAGCAGUGGGGAAUCUUCCACAAUGGGCGAAAGCCUGACGCAGCAACGCCGCGUGAGUGAUGAAGGUCUUCGGGUCGUAAAGCUCUUUUAUUAGGGAAGCGGUACCUAAUCAGAAAGCCACGGCUAACUCCGUGCCAGCCGCCGCGGUAAUUC
rnacentral:rRNA from 1 species